rnacentral:rRNA from 1 species
GACGAACGCUGGCGGCGUGCUUAACACAUGCAAGUCGAACGAAGAGCGACGGAAGCUUGCUUCUAUCACUCUUAGUGGCGAACGGGUGAGUAACGCGUAAUCAACCUGCCCUUCAGAGGGGGACAACAGUUGGAAACGACUGCUAAUACCGCAUACGAUCUAACCUCGGCAUCGAGGAUAGAUGAAAGGUGGCCUCUACAUGUAAGCUAUCACUGAAGGAGGGGAUUGCGUCUGAUUAGCUAGUUGGAGGGGUAACGGCCCACCAAGGCGAUGAUCAGUAGCCGGUCUGAGAGGAUGAACGGCCACAUUGGGACUGAGACACGGCCCAGACUCCUACGGGAGGCAGCAGUGGGGAAUCUUCCGCAAUGGACGAAAGUCUGACGGAGCAACGCCGCGUGAGUGAUGACGGCCUUCGGGUUGUAAAGCUCUGUUAAUCGGGACGAAAGGCCUUCUUGCGAAUAGUGAGAAGGAUUGACGGUACCGGAAUAGAAAGCCACGGCUAACUACGUG